rnacentral:rRNA from 1 species
UGCAAGUCGAACGGGGACUUCGGUCCUAGUGGCGAACGGUCGCGUAACACGUAAGCAACCUGCCCUGAAGUGGGGGACAACAUCCCGAAAGGGGUGCUAAUACCGCAUGUGGUCACGAGUCGGCAUCGGCUUGUGUCUAAAGAUUUAUCGCUUCAGGAUGGGCUUGCGGCCUAUCAGGUAGUUGGUGGGGUAAUGGCCUACCAAGCCGACGACGGGUAGCUGGUCUGAGAGGACGAUCAGCCGGAUUGGGACUGAGAUACGGCCCAGACUCCUACGGGGGGCAGCAAUUAGGAAUCUUGCGCAAUGGGGGAAACCCUGACGCAGCGACGUCGCGUGAAGGAUGAAGGCCCUCGGGUCGUAAACUUCUUUUGAGUGGGAAGAAAUUUGACGGUACCACUCGAAUAAGCCCCGGCUAAGUAGGUGCCAGCAGCCGCGGUAAUACGUAGGGGGCGAGCGUUGUCCGAAGUUACUGGGCGUAAAGCGCGCGUAGGCGGUUAUUCAAGUCUGGGGUGAAAGGUUCAGCGCUCAACGUGAACAGUGCCUUGGAUACUGGAUGACUUGAGUCUGGAAGGGGGAAGGGGAAUUCCUGGUGUAGCGGUGAAAUGCGUAGAUAUCAGGAGGAACACCGGUGGCGAAGGCGCCUUCCUGGUCUAAGACUGACGCUGAGGUGCGAAAGCGUGGGGAGCAAACGGGAUUAGAU